rnacentral:rRNA from 1 species
GACGAACGCUGGCGGCGUGCCUAAUACAUGCAAGUCGAACGCAGUGGGGACGGGUGAGUAACCCGUGGGUAACCUCCCAUCAGAGGGGAUAACACUUGGAAACAGGUGCUAAACCGAUACUGAUGGAUGAACUCGCUGUGCAUUAGCUAGUUGGUGGGGUAACGGCUCACCAAGGCUACGAUGCAUAGACGGCCUGAGAGGAUGACCGGCCACACUGGGACGGAGACACGGCCCAGACUCCUACGGGAGGCAGCAGUAGGGAAUCUUCGGCAAUGGACGAAAGUCGGACCGAGCAACGCCGCGUGAAUGAAGAAGGUUUUCGGGUCGUAAAUCUCUGUUAUUGGGGAAGCGGUAUCUAACCAAAAAGCCACGGCUAACUACGUGCCAGCAGCCGCGGUAAUAC